CAAAUCAUGGAUAUAUUGUAUUGCCAUUAAUCAUUUACUAACAUAUCUCUUUGCCUAUUUCUCUCUGUUGAGAGACGUUCCCAUGCCAAUACUGAUACACAGCCAAGGCAACUGUGUGUACCUCCGAGAAACAUAUGGGCACAGACAUCAGAGGAGGACUGACGCACUUGGGUAGCGUGUAGUUGCAGUUAAAAUACAUUUGUGAACGAGGGAGAGAACACAUUAUGUUGGUAUUCCUGGCCACCCUCCUUGUGUUCCCGCCCUGCGUCGCCGCCCAGAUGGAGCAGAGCUUGUUUGACAGACUCCCCGCCAUGGACGGCAAGAUAGUGACGUCCAACGUCGUCAUGCCACAGACUAAGCUGGACCUGGGGGCUUGCAGCUUUCACUGUCUGGGGAACCCCAAGUGUAAGGCUUUCUUCCACCACAAGGAAACUUCUCUCUGCCAACUCCAGGCUGCCAAGGGUUCCGGGGGCAAGGCGGAGAAAGGGUGGCUGCACUAUUACAAGAAGUGAGAGGCGCCCACGUUUAGAACUCCUCCAGGUUGGGCAACACCCGGUAAAGGAGGGAUCCUGGCUUGAUUCAGUGACUGGUUUAAAUAUGCAAAAUAUUCUGUACUACCACCCUUGAUAUAUCGAUAUUGUUGCCUUAGGUUUACAUUUCGAAUCUAGUUACCUUGAAAUAA